rnacentral:rRNA from 1 species
UUAGGAAUCUUCCCCAAUGGGCGCGAGCCUGAGGGAGCGACACUGCGUGAAGGACGAAGGUUUUCGGAUCGUAAACUUCUGAACGAGGGACGAAUAAUGACGGUACCUCGCUAAAAGCACCGGCUAACUCCGUGCCAGCAGCCGCGGUAAUACGGAGGGUGCAAGCGUUAUCCGGAAUCACUGGGCGUAAAGGGCACGUAGGCGGUCUAGUAGGUCCGAUGUUAAAGCGUGGGGCUCAACCCCAUCACGGCGUUGGAUACUGCUAGGCUUGACGACUGGAGAGGUGAGUAGAAUUACCAGUGUAGCGGUGGAAUGCGUAGAUACUGGUAGGAAUACCCAUUGCGAAGGCGGCUCGCUGGGCCAUACCUGACGCUGAGACGCGAAAGCGUGGGGAGCAAACAGGAUUAGAUACCCGUGUAGUCC